rfam:Myotis davidii contig77404, whole genome shotgun sequence.
GCCAGUGUGGCUCAGUGGUGGAGUGUUGGCCCGUGUGCCAAAGGGUUGUGGGUUCAAUUCCCUGUCAAGGGCA